GAGAGGGAACACUGAGCGAACAGAGUCGAUGAAGAACAUGCAGAUUGUAUCACGGAGCAAGGGCAAGACCACGUGGCUGUAAACACGAGGUCUGAGAAACAGGAGAGGCUGGCAACGACCAGCAGCAAUGCCUAUCUGCACAGCCAUUUGCUUCUGCCAUGUCGACAUCUUCGCUCAACAAGCUUGUGAUCGUCAUGUUAGUGGUCUUCAUCAUUUGCCUACCCGAGUUCUUCCCUUCACAUCAAGCCAAGGUGAAAGAGAUUUCUCCUGCAUCCAUUCCCCCCAUGCCUGAUGAAGAGCCAAGGUGACACAAGGUGCUUCCCUCCAUCCAGGAGGGAUGGAGAUAUAGAGGAGGAACUCUGCACUGGACCAGGAAACGUGACAAACCGUCAUGACCCAGGAGUUACCUGGUUCAUAUGUGAGACUCACACAGAGCCAUCAGCUAUCCUUCACAACACCCUGCGGCCAGAAGGGAAUUCUGAGCCAUCUCUCAUAAUUCAGUCCGAGGACUUUGAGGGGCACAAUAUUACAUUCACGGGGAUUGGGAACCGCAGCCUCUUUCGUGUACCAGAGGAGCACAGGCUGCUGUUUUCCUGCGAUGGAGAGCCCACCCCCAAACCCGGGGGCCUUCCCCAGCCCUCCAAUUAUAGCUGCUGCAUCUUACGCUUACACAGGAUGAACUCCACCGCACUUAAAACUACACUAGUGUGGGCAUCCUCUGUGGGAGGGUUCUGGUCGUGUUCCUACCGCAUGGUAUGGCUGUUUCUUGUUCUGAUCGUUGUGGUGCUGGUGCUCAAUGUGUCACAUGGGAAGUCUGAAGAACCGAUGUUCUAGGCAGAGAAGAGAGGAGCCCCCAGUCCUUGUUGAGCUCUCAUGGAGAUAUCAAAUGAAGAAAUGAGUGUUCACGGUGAACCAGUCCACAAUGCAAGUUUUACACAUCUCUCCACAAUUCAUGAGGAGGAUGAGACAGAAAGUCUGCAUGCAAGUGAUCACAACAAAAAUACUGCUAAUGGGUGAAAACAUCCGGAAGCAAGUGUUUUAGUAACUAUGCCAGCAAAACCAUGGAAUAAUAACCCACAUGAUGUGGCAUAAAGGACAAGCGAAGUUGGUCUGAACAUUGGCAGUCAUUUGACUGUUUAGAAGAUGAUUGUAUAGAAGACAAUCGGACAGCUUCCAGCGUUACAACCAUUUGUACAGCAGGAUAUUUAUUUUAACUCUGGAUGAGAACCUAUCUCAGGGACACAGGAGCAGGAAUCUGGGAUCCACACAUCCUUCUUUUGUCUGUAUUUUGCACUGUCACUUGAGAGCCCACCUAAACAGGCUGCAUGAAUGUGAAUUUCGGUUUGGUCAAAUGCAGUCAAACCCAAGACCCUAAAAAACAAUGUUUACAAGCUGCUUCCAUGGCCACUGAAGCCCUCACUGGCCUGGAGUUAAAGGACAACUAAUCUUUUGUUUAUUCCUGCUUCAGUCAUGCACUGCUUUCAAUUCCUUUUAUAAUUUCAGCUGUCAUCACCCUGUUCUCAGUUUUAAAUUUUAAAAGAAACUGACUUUUGUUUCCUAGUAUUUUUCUCCACCAGUAAUGCCCAAGUAAAAUUGGAUCAUUUUUUUAAAAUUCCCAUUUCAUCUGUGAAAUUGAAGUUUUAGGUAAUUCAGCUAUUAAGAAGAAAAAUGGUUAACAAGAUCAGCGCAUUUACUCUCUGGUUUUAUUUGCAAUGCACAAGAGAAUUAUAGCAUUGUUUUCAUCAUAACUUCUGUAAUUUAAGGUCACUUGAACAGGAAGUGAAGAGCAGCUUCAAGAUCAAGUAUGCUGGUUAAGGUGCUGACAGACACUCAAUGUCUAGCAGAAAACAUUUGGCAACGUGCACAUCACAAGAAUUUUCAAAGCUUUUUAGUCUAGUAUACUGUACAUUAUACAGCAAAACAAAUGAUACUGAUGCAGGAAGUCAUAACUUGCUAAGAAAUGCUGCUGAAUUUUGGUUACAGCACACCCUCUUCAUGGUUACAUACUCCACAGUGCCCAGCUGUGAAUAUAUCUCAACCAAAAAUUGCACCUUUGCAAAUGAAGUCUGAAAAUGCAUAAAUUAAACUUCUUAUCGUGCCUAACAGGGCAGCAUGAUGGUACAUUUCACAAAACACUGACGCCAUCAAAGUGGUUUAAGGAAAAAAAGGAUGAAAUGGUGGUUCAAGUUUCUACCACAAAUCGUAUGCAAUGCAACAUGAGUGUGAAAAUGCAAAAGAGCCUUAAAUGAAAUGAACACAUUGAAAUUUGGAACAAGAGGCACUUUAUACUGAAAUAUUUGGAUUAUUUAACGUUUUGGUGUAACAUUUCCUAAGGUUCGUAAAGACUUUAGACUCACAUCCAUAAAGUAUUUUGCAGUGCAAAGUCAAAUAAAGUAGUUUCUUACCAAAGAGCAAAUAAAUGCAGAUGUUCAUUUGUGGUUUUAUGCUUUACGUGUUAUGCACAGUUGGCAGUAAACCACACUUUGAGAAGCAGAGGUGAAAAAAACCAACGAGAAAAUUAUUUCUAAAAAAUUACAAGAAAAUAUAUUAUGAACUUAAUCCUGGUUAAAUAUUCCAUUGUCAGUCAUAAUAGUAAAUGUCACAGCAAUGCACUUCCUUGAUAAUAACUUUCAUAAACUGCAUACAGCAAUAUAGUGAAUUAUAUGGAAAUUAGUCUGGUUUUUUAUUCGUUUACAGCUGAAAGUGUCUUAGUAUGCUUUUCACACUGAAACCUUCAGCAGCAUUAACAUACGUUCUAAUAUCUUUAAUGGUGUUCAGAAGCAUUCUAAAAAGUGAUAAAAGGGAACAUCGGAAUGCUAAUGUACAAGAACAAUAACCCACACUUUCAUGAAUUCCCAGAAAAACAAUACUUUUACAGUACUUGCAAAAAAAGCAACAUUAUCUUUAUAAGACAAGCUCAGAUAUGUGGAUUCCGUUUCUAUACUGGAGUGUCAAUCUUCUGUCUAGGAGGCACAAAAUAAAAGUGCAGAACAAUUGAUGGAGUAUAAACUGUCCCUUCUCAAGAAGCAGGUCACAGUCCUUUGGUGUUGCCUUAGAUGUCAAGAGAAUUAUUUUUGAUCCCUUCACCCGCUCCUAACUUGUUCAUUACGGCACUUAGAGCCAUCGGUCUCCAACUGCACCGCCAGCACCGAAGCAGGCAGCUUUGAUUAAAACCCGUCGGUCGCCUCUCAGAAGAAUCAUCUCUCCAAUAACGCUGAUUCCAUGUAGGCCCUUCUACAGAACAAACAGAACCCUCAAUCCCUCAGAACUCCUCUCCAUCAUGGGCACUUAAGAGAUACUUGUUCAACGCAAAGCAGCCUGGUCUAAGGUUAACGUUGCUUUACAGUAUCUAUCCAGUCUUUACUUUGGAGUCUGAAUGUUUCAAUCGUCAGUGAAUGUAAGGGAAUGUCACAGAGCGCCACCUUCUAAUCUUGUCGGUACAAACGUUUCCCUGUGUGAACCAUGUUCCGAAUGCCUGUCAAUGUCAGUCUCAUUUCUACAGUCACCUCAUAGAACAAUAAAGUGAUAAAAUAUCUAAAUACUUGCAAAAUGGCAUGACAAGUGAAUUUAAGUGACAUUUCAUAAUUCUCCAUAUUCUAAUUAAUUUGUUAUUGUUAAAUACGUAUAUAUAUAU